AUGUUUACCUGGGAAGGAGAUUGUGUGUGGAGACUGUGAUUGCCUGGUGAUUUUCCUGGUGGGAGGCUGAUCUAUUGCACACCAGAUGGAGUCCUAGAUUUCCCCAAAUGAGGGAAACUCACCUGUAUAACUUGAGGUAGUGGGGACUAUGUUCAUGUUCUCUCCU
rnacentral:snRNA from 10 species